AUCACUAAGCGGAGGAAAAGAAACUAACCAGGAUUCCCCUAGUAACGGCGAGUGAAGAGGGAAAAGCCCAGCACCGAAUCCCCUGCAUAGACUGUAGCGGGAACUGUGGUGUUCGGGAGAGCCUCUGGAGCGGAGACGGGCGUCCGAGUCCUUCUGAUCGGGGCCUUACCCAGAGCGGGUGUUAGGCCUCUACGGCGCCUGCUUUCCGUUCCUCUGUGCCUCCCAGGAGUCGGGUUGUUUGCGAAUGCAGCCCAAAGUGGGUGGUAAACUCCAUCUAAGGCUAAAUACUGGCGCGAGUCCGAUAGCGGACAAGUACCGUGAGGGAAAGUU
rnacentral:rRNA from 1 species